rnacentral:rRNA from 1 species
GUGUUAGAUCAUACCAAAGCUAACGCACUAGAUCCCAUCAGAACUCCACAGUUAAGAGUGCUUGGGCGAGAGUUGUACUAUGAUGGGUGACCUCCUAGGAAAUCCUCGUGUUGUACCCC